CGCGCCACAGCCCGCCGGUAGCCGGCACCCAGCGCGUUCAGGAGGGGCCGCUGCCUCGACGCUGCAGCUCCUAUGCCGUUAGUAUUGUGUUUUACGGCUGUAAAUAGAGCGUUCUCAGGAAGAACACCGUUCGGUUCCCCUUCCGGCUGUCCGUCCCGUGACAGUCCUGUUACCACACUUAUCAAGCACAGAUUAAGGGUGAACGGAGUCCACCAGCGGAGGUAACGGCGUGAUUUGGGGCAGGGCCAAGACGCAGUUAAAGGGCAGCGUGUUCCCCUGUUGAAUUCCGUCCCGGCAGGGGUGUGAUCUGAGCAAGCACAAGCCAGACAAGUGGGAAGACAGAGCUGGGAACCAGAGGGAUCGUGCUUUAAUUGGCAGUUCUGCAGCUCUGUUGGCUUCCCUGGAGCCUGUGUGCUGCCCUCCCUGUGCUGGGGAGCAGCGCUUGCCUCUGGGCUGUGCUGGGGUGCAGCGUGAAAUGCAGCGGGGCCAAUUGCUUGGACCCCCCACAUGGUGCCCGAUGAAGCUACUGGGGUUUCCUGAGCUCUGUGGCCGGGACAGCAAUGCCCAGUACUCUGGGCUGCUCUGGGCUGCGGUGAUUCACCAGGGCACUGCAGCAAGCUGCGGCAGGAGGCAGCCCAGGCACCUGGGGCUGGAGCUGGAAGGGGCUGGUAUCCCACCAGGGUCUGUAUCUAGUCAAACGAGACCGUCACCUCAAAGCCAGGCAGGGUAGCCGUGCUCGGCCCCAUGCUCGCUGCUGCCGGCUCUCGCAGAGGCUGCUAAUCUCAGGCACUGGCACUUCCCCAAGUGACGUUCCCCUUAUCAGCCACCUGUGCCAGCCAUGGGCAUUCACUGCCAUCGUGCAGAACCUUUAGCCUAUUCAGGUGACAUUAAUGAUUCUGGGGCACGAACCAGUGGCUUGACCUGCUGCAUUUGUUUUUUGAAGUUGCAUUGCAUUUGUAUGGGAGAGGAAGGAGAGAAUUUGAAUCAAAAGCUGCACGCAAGCAAUCUCAGGAAGCCCCUAGCAGAAACCCAAAGGACGAACUCCCAAGUGAGCUGCAUCCUGGGGACUCUGAAAGGAUACUGCGUGCGGAGGAAGGUGCUCUUCACACCAUGAUGUUCCCCCGGCCUUGGUGACUACCCAGUACUCCCUGUGCUGGGGACUGCCAAUAAAUGCUGUUACUUAACUGUUCCUCUGUCCUGC
ensembl:lncRNA